rnacentral:tRNA from 1 species
GUGGGUACAGCUCGGUGGCAGAGUGUGUGCUUAGCACGCACAAGGUUCUGGGUUCAAUCCCCAGUACCGACA